rnacentral:rRNA from 1 species
CUAGAUGCUGACGAGUGGCGGACGGGUGAGUAACGCGUGGGAAUCUGCCUUCUAGUGGGGGAUAGCCCGGAGAAAUCCGGAUUAAUACCGCAUACGCCCUACGGGGGAAAGCCGGGGAUCUUCGGACCUGGCGCUAGUAGAUGAGCCCGCGUGAGAUUAGCUUGUUGGUGGGGUAAUGGCCUACCAAGGCAACGAUCUCUAGCUGGUCUGAGAGGACGAUCAGCCACACUGGGACUGAGACACGGCCCAGACUCCUACGGGAGGCAGCAGUGGGGAAUAUUGGACAAUGGGCGAAAGCCUGAUCCAGCAAUGCCGCGUGUGUGAAGAAGGCCUGAGGGUUGUAAAGCACUUUCAGUGGGGAAGAUAAUGACUGUACCCACAGAAGAAGCACCGGCUAACUACGUG